UUUUAUUUCAUUUUGCUCUGUAUCUAGGCUUCAUACUUUGUCUUCUUUGUUCUCUUUUCAUCAAGCUCCUAACAUCUCAUUCUGACAGCCAGAGACAUUUAAGGCACUUUCGUUUCAAAUGCAAGUUAGCAUACUUGAUUUGUCAUUAAAAUGCAAAACGAUUGCCACUGCAGGUAAAUGUAGGUAUGCUUAAAAGGUUGUAUCUGCAAAGUAAAAGCUGAAAAUGGUUUCUGGCUGCUUUGCUUAACUCUUUCACCAGCCUCAGAGUUUUUCUAAGGCAAACGUUACUGUGCUCUAGUAGAAGUGUAGCAGCACCUGCAGUUGCACACAGGGUACAUUUUAGUAUAUUUAAGUAACAUAAAAGCUUGAUGUUACAAUGUUAAGCACUGAGAGGUACUGUCAAGUUUACACAUAGAGCCUUAGUACUAUUUACACAAGAAUAUGGAAAGAGUCUAUCAUGCAAAGCUCUCGGGGGCCAAAUCUCUCUACACAUGCACUCUGCUAGCUAGACACCAAUGAGGAAAAAGCAGGGGUUUUGUUUGUUUGUUUUUAAUACACUAUUUGCGGCUGGUUUAGCUGGAUUCACCAGUGACAGAACAGCAAUUUACUUUCUCUGUUCAAUGAUCACUUAAAAAGACAUGAAGGCCUUAAAAUAAAUAAACAAAUCAAAGGACAAGGAACAGAUUUUAAAACACUGCAGAAAACUAGAACUGCACAGGAUGGAAAUGAGUAACAUCGAGCUUUCUACAUACAUGCACAGAUGUGAAUGUGAUCUAUAAUAUGAAUAAGGUUAUUUCUAUUCAACACCUAUUCAAAGAUCUCAGUUGUGUUCAGCAUACAAAAUCUAGUGAAAGGAAAUACCUACUAUUGUCUGCAAGUGGCAAAAGGGUUGAAGGGUUUCACUCCACUCACUAAAAUGCAGAAGCCUUUUUCUUUUUUUUUUUUUUUCCUAAGAAUGAGAGCUGUAUGGAAAUCUGCAGUCAAGGAAUCAUUCAGAAAAUCCGAUUUAGAUUAUGACCUCAUAUUGCACUAGAUAAAAGGUACAGAACCCAAAAUAUUUAAUGCUUCUGUGUAUACAGUGAAACUUUCUGACUAGUUCCAACACUAUUCUGCCUCUUCUUACAAAAUAGGAAUUAUUUAUUCAUUCCAGCUUAUAUGACAGCAAUAGGCUAUGCUGUAAAUACAAGUAUCAACUUUAUAACUACCAGCUACCUUGAAGGGUUUCUAAGUGCUACUUUUUUUGCCCACUUCUGCCCACUUCCAGUGCAUUUCUGUCCCCACAAACAAAGAAAAUCAAAAAAGAAAAAAAAAAAAAAA
rnacentral:lncRNA from 1 species